CAACUUUCAACAACGGACCUCUUGGCUCUUGCAUCGAUGAAGAACGCAGCGAAAUGCGAUAAGUAAUGUGAAUUGCAGAAUUCCGUGAAUCAUCAAAUCUUUGAACGCAAAUUGCACUCUUUGGUAUUCCGAAGAGUAUGCUUGCUUGAGGGUUGUU
rnacentral:rRNA from 1 species